rnacentral:rRNA from 1 species
UACGGGGGGAGCAAGCGUUGUUCGGAUUUACUGGGCGUAAAGGGCGCGUAGGCGGUCAGCACAAGUCAGUUGUGAAAUCUCCGAGCUUAACUCGGAAAGGUCAACUGAUACUGUGCGACUAGAGUGCGGAAGGGGCAACUGGAAUUCUUGGUGUAGCGGUGAAAUGCGUAGAUAUCUGGAGGAACACCGGUGGCGAAGGCGGCAUCCUGGACCAUUACUGACGCUGAGGAGCGAAAGCCAGGGGAGCAAACGGG